GUGUUGUAUGAAAGGAGAGAAGGUUAGCACUCCCCUUGACAAGGAUGGAAGAGGCCCUCAGGCCUUACAACACACAUAAGGUUAAGGCAUUGCCACCUACUUCAUAUAAUGUCAGUUGUAUAU
ensembl:snRNA